CCUACGUGAGGCAGCAGUAGGGAAUAUUGGACAAUGGGCGCAAGCCUGAUCCAGCAACGCCGCGUGAAUGAAGAAGGCUUUCGGCUUGUACACUUCUCUUGAGAGGGACGAGCGUAAGAGGUUGUCUCUUGAAUAAUCCACGGCUAACUACGUGCCAGAAUCCGCGGUAAUACGUAGGUGGCAAGCGUUGUCCGGAUUUACUGGCUGUAGAGGGCGUGCAGUCGGGAACACAAGUCAGAUGUGAAAUCCCGCGGCUCAACCGCGGAACUGCAUUUGAAACUGGUUUUCUUGAGUACAGGAGAGGUCAGCGGAACUCCUGGUGUAGCGGUGAAAUGCGUAGAUAUAAGGAAGAACACCAGUGGCGAAGGCGGAUGACUGGACGGCAACUGACGGUGAGGCGCGAAAGCGUGGGGAGCAAACAGGAUUAGAUACCCUAGUAGUC
rnacentral:rRNA from 1 species